UACGUAGGGUGCAAGCGUUGUCCGGAAUUAUUGGGCGUAAAGAGCUCGUAGGCGGGCGAUUAAGUCAGGGGUGAAAUCCCGGAGCUCAACUCCGGAACUGCCUUUGAUACUGGUCGUCUAGAGAUCGGAAGAGGUGAGUGGAAUUCCCAGUGUAGAGGUGAAAUUCGUAGAUAUUGGGAAGAACACCAGUGGCGAAGGCGGCUCACUGGUCCGAUACUGACGCUGAGGUGCGAAAGCGUGGGGAGCAAACAGG
rnacentral:rRNA from 1 species